AAAUGCAAGGGCCGGCGAACUAAUGGUUAAUGUGGGCUCAACGGUGCAAGUGUGUUCUUCACGAAUUAGGAUAUAUUUAAUGUCAGGGGGAUUGUUAAUUAUGGAGAUGCUGCUUCCAUAUAUGGAAGUGUGUUCAUUGGUGAUGUUUCCGUGCCUAACCAAGUUGCUUACACUGCAGCUUGGAGCUGGAGGAAUUCAUCAACAGACCAAGUUAAGGAGUUCCUUAGAGAUAUUGUUGCUGGAAAUAUGACAUUUGAAGAUUUCAAUGUUCCCAAGGAGGGAAAUAACUCACUAGGACGUAUUUUUUACUGGAAAUCGACAUGGUUCACAGGUCGUCAACAGAAAACUACAGGUUUUUGGCUUCUAGUAGACGAAGAAUGGCUAAGAAUUGCAUCUCAGAUCGAGUGACUGGAGUUAGAAAAAUGUGUACAAGACCCUUACCAACCAAAAGUUAAGUUCGGCUUAAAGGCUGGUAGUGGUGAUUUGUUCAUCGUAAAUAAAGCAUAUGGUGACUUCCUUUACGACACUUUCAAUAUUUCAACGCUCGACACUUCUGAUUCUGCUAUUGCAAUGACAUGUUUCUCGAAUGAAAUUCCAUUUAUUGUGCUCCGUGGAGUUUCGUACAUUGUAAAAGAAAAUAAUCCAAGGCCGCCGUGUUUUCCGUUGGGAAAUAGCAACGCUGUAAAAGCCACUGCUGCUUUCCUUGGAUUGCUUAGUGCUAAGGAGGACAGUGUGGCCCAAGUGUAGUUAAGUUAAGCGUCUCAGUUUAAAUAAUAUUAGCUGAAUGUAAUCCUACUUUUGGCUAAUUAUCAACACUCAAAUUAUCUAUGUAGCUUGGUUGUCGUGGUCGUCUUCGUCGUCUUGUUGAUGAAAAAAAAAUGUACUUGCAUAUCAGUGAUAUCAAAUAAAUGGGAGUGUAUAUUGCUCCUCCUGUUUAAAAUUAUAUUCUCAAUUUUCUUUU